rnacentral:rRNA from 1 species
GGGACAACAGUUGGAAACGACUGCUAAUACCGCAUAAGCCCACGACCCGGCAUCGGGAAGAGGGAAAAGGAGCAAUCCGCUUUGAGAUGGCCUCGCGUCCGAUUAGCUAGUUGGUGAGGUAACGGCCCACCAAGGCAACGAUCGGUAGCCCGACUGAGAGGUUGAACGGCCACAUUGGGACUGAGACACGGCCCAGACUCCUACGGGAGGCAGCAGUGGGGAAUAUUGCACAAUGGGGGAAACCCUGAUGCAGCGACGCCGCGUGGAGGAAGAAGGUCUUCGGAUUGUAAACUCCUGUUGUUGAGGAAGAUAAUGACGGUACUCAACAAGGAAGUGACGGCUAACUACGUGCCAGCAGCCGCGGUAAAACGUAGGUCACAAGCGUUGUCCGGAAUUACUGGGUGUAAAGGGAGCGCAGGCGGGAAGACAAGUUGGAAGUGAAAUCCAUGGGCUCAACCCAUGAACUGCUUUCAAAACUGUUUUUCUUGAGUAGUGCAGAGGUAGGCGGAAUUCCCGGUGUAGCGGUGGAAUGCGUAGAUAUCGGGAGGAACACCAGUGGCGAAGGCGGCCUACUGGGCACCAACUGACGCUGAGGCUCGAAAGUGUGGGUAGCAAACAGGAUUAGAUACCCUGGUAGUCCACACCGUAAACGAUGAUUACUAGGUGUUGGAGGAUUGACCCCUUCAGUGCCGCAG